rnacentral:piRNA from 1 species
UCAUCCGGUACUCUGUAGGCUCCUGUGA